rnacentral:RNase_MRP_RNA from 2 species
CAAGCAAGCCAAGGACCAUAUGUUUUUUUGUGUUACACUUUCAGCAUCUAAGCUUAUUAUAUUCAACACAAGGAGAAAGUCCCCGGAAAACAAAAUAUCUUCUGUCCAAUGAUUAAAGAUUAGGGCAGUGGGGUAUUUAGUAAAGCAACUUUUGUUUUGUUUUGUUUUUUUUCAAUAAUAAAAAGUAAUAUGGUCACCCUAUAAUAAUGGGGCAACUUAAUGGGGCUUACUCUGGCUUGUUU